rnacentral:rRNA from 1 species
AAAUUGAAGAGUUUGAUCAUGGCUCAGAUUGAACGCUGGCGGCAGGCCUAACACAUGCAAGUCGAGCGGUAGCACAGAGAGCUUGCUCUCGGGUGACGAGCGGCGGACGGGUGAGUAAUGUCUGGGAAACUGCCUGAUGGAGGGGGAUAACUACUGGAAACGGUAGCUAAUACCGCAUAAUGUCGCAAGACCAAAGUGGGGGACCUUCGGGCCUCAUGCCAUCAGAUGUGCCCAGAUGGGAUUAGCUAGUAGGUGGGGUAACGGCUCACCUAGGCGACGAUCCCUAGCUGGUCUGAGAGGAUGACCAGCCACACUGGAACUGAGACACGGUCCAGACUCCUACGGGAGGCAGCAGUGGGGAAUAUUGCACAAUGGGCGCAAGCCUGAUGCAGCCAUGCCGCGUGUGUGAAGAAGGCCUUCGGGUUGUAAAGCACUUUCAGCGGGGAGGAAGGCGUUAAGGUUAAUAACCUUGGCGAUUGACGUUACCCGCAGAAGAAGCACCGGCUAACUCCGUGCCAGCAGCCGCGGUAAUACGGAGGGUGCAAGCGUUAAUCGGAAUUACUGGGCGUAAAGCGCACGCAGGCGGUCUGUCAAGUCGGAUGUGAAAUCCCCGGGCUCAACCUGGGAACUGCAUUCGAAACUGGCAGGCUAGAGUCUUGUAGAGGGGGGUAGAAUUCCAGGUGUAGCGGUGAAAUGCGUAGAGAUCUGGAGGAAUACCGGUGGCGAAGGCGGCCCCCUGGACAAAGACUGACGCUCAGGUGCGAAAGCGUGGGGAGCAAACAGGAUUAGAUACCCUGGUAGUCCACGCCGUAAACGAUGUCGAUUUGGAGGUUGUGCCCUUGAGGCGUGGCUUCCGGAGCUAACGCGUUAAAUCGACCGCCUGGGGAGUACGGCCGCAAGGUUAAAACUCAAAUGAAUUGACGGGGGGCCCGCACAAGCGGUGGAGCAUGUGGUUUAAUUCGAUGCAACGCGAAGAACCUUACCUGGUCUUGACAUCCACAGAACUUUCCAGAGAUGGAUUGGUGCCUUCGGGAACUGUGAGACAGGUGCUGCAUGGCUGUCGUCAGCUCGUGUUGUGAAAUGUUGGGUUAAGUCCCGCAACGAGCGCAACCCUUAUCCUUUGUUGCCAGCGGUCCGGCCGGGAACUCAAAGGAGACUGCCAGUGAUAAACUGGAGGAAGGUGGGGAUGACGUCAAGUCAUCAUGGCCCUUACGACCAGGGCUACACACGUGCUACAAUGGCAUAUACAAAGAGAAGCGACCUCGCGAGAGCAAGCGGACCUCAUAAAGUAUGUCGUAGUCCGGAUUGGAGUCUGCAACUCGACUCCAUGAAGUCGGAAUCGCUAGUAAUCGUAGAUCAGAAUGCUACGGUGAAUACGUUCCCGGGCCUUGUACACACCGCCCGUCACACCAUGGGAGUGGGUUGCAAAAGAAGUAGGUAGCUUAACCUUCGGGAGGGCGCUUACCACUUUGUGAUUCAUGACUGGGGUGAAGUCGUAACAAGGUAACCGUAGGGGAACCUGCGGUUGGAUCACCUCCUUACCUUAAAGAA